rnacentral:lncRNA from 1 species
CAGUGUAGCGACCCGGGCAGAAAGUACUUCUCUUUCCCUGCAUCAAGGGAUCAGUCUCAGGAAAGGAGAGGGAUUGGUGCAGAUUGGGUCCCGUGCCCACUCCCUGGUCCAAUCACUGUGGCCAGGGGAUGAGUGACUAUGAUUGGCCAGCCCCAGGUCACAUGGCCACAAAUAUCAGGGGAACGGAAAAGCUUGCUGGACAGACGAAAACAACAGAGCACCGUAAGAAGGAAUAUAAACAAUCUUUCUUCUGCAGUCUUGGAGCAAACAGGUGCUGAUAAAAUCAACAUUACUUCAAGCCUCACCCCCAAAGUUGAACUGAGCCUGAACCUUUCUGAAGAAUGAAGAAUGUUUAGCAAACACUCCCCUCCAGUGUGCCUAAA